GUGCCGAGGCCGGAGACGCCAGGGCCGGUUCGGGAGGGAUCGCAAGGCGCCAGGAGGCCGGGGCGGGGAGGGAGGGCCCAUCCUACCUCUGGUACCGACACAGUCUCAGUUUUCCCGGAUGCUCAGCGGCAGCGCGGGCCAAUCUAGAUGAGAACCCUAGUUGUGUGACCGUCCGCAAGCGGGACCCUUGAGCGGCUUGGAGUGCGCGCGUGCCUCAUUUUCCCCGCUCGAAGGGGCGGGAACUCCAUGUAUGUUUGAACCCCGCCUUAUUCGGUUUGGUUCUUGUUGUUGAUUCCCCUUCGGAGUUUGGCCGUGGAGUUGAAGUCGGUUUGAGGACUCGGGCGGGACAGAUGUGUGCUCCUACUUGUAACCUUGAGACGCAGAGCCAUUCCAGUCAGCCUGGCAUUCUUGGGGGAGAGUUAGUGUUUUUUUCAGGCUUCAGGGGUUAAGGAGAAAGAGAUGGACACCCCAGACUCAGCCUCAAGGGUCUUCUGUGGCCGCUUCCUCAGCAUGGUGAACACUGAUGACGUCAACGCCAUAAUUCUGGCCCAGAAGAACAUGCUGGACCGCUUCGAGAAAACCAACGAGAUGCUUCUGAACUUCAACAAUCUGUCCAGCGUGCGGCUGCAGCAGAUGAGCGAGCGCUUCAUGCACCACACCCGCACCUUGGUGGACAUGAAACGGGACCUGGACAGCAUCUUCCGCAGGAUCAGACAUCCCAGAGGGUUCACUCCUAGAGGACGAAGAUGAAGACCCUGUUCCACCCAGUAUCACCACAACCAUCGCCACCUCAGAGCAGAGCACAGGGUCCUGUGACACCAGCCCUGACACUGCCUCUCCAUCCUUCAGUCCUGGCUUUGAGGACCUAUCACACAUUCGACCUGGCUCUCCUGCCAUCAAUGGCCACAGCCAAACAGAUGAUGAGGAAGAAACACGUGAAGAAUAACCUCUCUCCCAACCUCCCAGAAAGGCCCAGGGCAGCAGUGGUUCUCCUAGGGUCACAGUCAGUCAGCUUUGCUGCUCCUUUCUUUUGUAGGCAGGGUUCCUAAUUCCUGCCACUCCCCGUAAGAGCAGGACUUCCUAUGCCAGCAUGUAUGUCUAGCUGGGGCAGUGGGGCUGGGUAGAGGUAACCUUGAAAUCAGCCUGGGCCAGCUUUGAACAGUGCUUCUAAGGUCUCCAGAGACCAAAGCCAGAUUGUCAUCCCCCACACCCUGGGUGGGCACAGGAGGGCUGAGCUUGUUCCUACCCACUGGCAGCUGCUGAUUCAACUAUGUCUCCUUUCCCUCUGUGGAGUACUUUUUUCCUGUUGUGUUGAAUUCUGGAGGAAGAGGCAGCCUUGACUGUGAGGAGCUGUGUUUCUCCAAGGUCCAUCAGGUUAUCUCCAGGAGCUGGCCAGUCACCUUAGAAAACAGCUGAAUGGAAUAUUUUUAUACCUGAUGUUUACAGAUGUUGGGAAGUUAUCAAUAAAGACUGUUGUUAAAAGGGAACACU
rnacentral:lncRNA from 1 species